rnacentral:snoRNA from 1 species
CCCCUCUCAAGGUCACACCUGAAGAGUUUCCAAUACUCUAUCAGUCUUGACUAUGGGAGGGAGAGUCAAGCAGAGGCAUAUCCAUUCCAUUCCUAGCUUGGGAUUGGCUAGCAAGUGGAAGGGAAUCUGCUACAAGU